GCGACCCCGUAUGGGACGAGCGGUUCUGAAAGUGUGUUUGUGUGUGUAUAUUAAUAUGCAAAUGUGUAAAUCACAUGAGCUUCUCAGCAGCACUUUCAGUUUCAUUGAACAGUCCGAUGCAUCUAAGCGCACGUCACACUGCACUACACUUUACUACGAUACAGUAAAAUAAAGUACAGUACAAUACAAAACUUCGUAGAGUACAAUACACUACAAUAUAGUAGAAUAGAGGACUUCGUCGAGGCUCCGAAGAGACGACACGUUCGGUUCGGCCAGUCCAGACAACUGUAUGUAUGUACAAUGAUUUCCCACUGUUUACCGGCCUCGAGGUGCAUAAAAGGUACGUCUGGUCCAUCAUGGCAGUUGGUCAUCAGCUUCAGUCAUCAUGGGUUGCUGGUAUCCCCGCCGGCCUUCUUGCUCAAGGGGUCUAGAGCUGGAGGAUUUGGACUCUUUGUUACUCUUGCUAUUGUUAUUGUUAGUGCUGCAUCAUGGAUGAAAAACCAGCAAGUUCGUUCAGUGCGAACGUCGAGCGACUCUCCGUACACGCGCUGCGAGCGCUGCCAGGACGCGCAGUGCGGCGCUCUGCUCCGAAGUGUGUGGCGGUCCGACGGCGUCAGCGACUUCCAGUUGUGGUCCUCGGGCGGCGGCGACACGCUCGUCCCGGACUGCUCGACCAUCUCUCCAUCUCCCGCUACUAGCAUUGUGUGCCAGAGUCACCUUGUCGUUUACCUCUUCGCAAAGGAGUCCGACCCGCCCAUUAAGUUUCACUUUGAAGGAAAGACCGGGAAUUAUCUCACUUCCGAAGCAGUAGACUGCCCCGAAGUAACACAGAAAUUACGUGCCAUGCCACAUGGAGGCGCUGCUCCACCUAUAACAUCCAUGGCCUCCUCCGCACCAAAAGCUGGUUUUAGAAAUGCCGUAUGUGCAGGUGAGCUGGAUAAAAAUCUGUAUUUGUAUUCUUAUUGCUUUGUUGUUGUGCGCGCACGCGCUCGAUCGCUCACUGAUUUACUUUCAUUCAUCGUUUCUCCAAGCCAGGCUCGUGGCGGUUCGUAGCCUAUCUCUGAGGCACCGGGCGCAAAGUAAAUUUCAGUACACGCUGGAGUCCAUCUAUGGGUAGCCUCGUGCACACACACACUCACUCACAUUCACACAGUAUGGGCACACAAGCGUCACCCAUUCACCCGAAACGCGUGUCUUUGGACUGUGGGAAGAAACCGGAGCAUUCACGGGAGAACAACGCGGACAGGUGGAAAACAUACAGACUUCACACAGCUUGAGCUGGACUCAAACCCACUCCUAGCAGCCCAGGCGCUGCGUGGCACACGAGUUUUAUCAGUGUCAGAGAAAAAAAAUCCACCGGGAUGCCUUCAGAAAAAUUUAUUUAAAAAAGAGAAAAAAAUGCGUAGAAAGUAAAAUUAGUAAAUUACUGAGUAAUGAAAACCAACACAAAAAAAUGAUUAAAUAUUAUAUUUUUAUAACUGACCUUUUAUCCCCUCUGCAGUGUUUGUAGCUGUUGCCAUAAUUGGAGGUGCAGCAAGAUGAUAAUGCAGCUGAACCUGAAAUCAGGUCACCUGGAGAUGUUCUGAAGACCUCAAAAUAGGAAGUCGCCAGUGCUGAUGUGCUGAGCACUUUGGAGCGCGAGGGGUGAGCGAGAAAUGAGUGGAGAGACUUGAUUCCGCAGAACAUCACUGGAUUGGAGACACACUCACUUGGACAGGAUGUCGAAUCAGCACCUUUCUGGAAAAGAUAUCCCACUUGGUCCAGGGAGAGACAGCAGGAGUCAAGGUUUUUGCUGUGUCUCUACGGAAAAGACCUGAUAUAUUGUGGCCCGCGGCGAUCUGGGUUCGCACGUGACGCAAAGCGACGCGCGGAAACCGUUCAUUCAUUGUGAACGUUAUUGGAACACCGGCACACUGCGGUAGAUGUCUGUGAGUAUUGAGCCUCAACAUAGGCCAUUUAUUUGAUUCGAUUGACUCGAUUACCUUAGACUAAAAACGACCUUCGCGGGUAAGGGCUUCAAAAACUCCCAAGAGUCCCAUUAUAAUAUUAGUUAGUUAGCUUAGCUAACGUAACUUGGGCAGACUAGUGUAGCUGAGACUUUCCCGUUUUAUUCGGGAGCGGGGCACCACCACAAAAAUAGAUAUGGCACAAUAAUAAUAAUAAAAAUAAUAAUAAUAAUAAUAAUAAUAAUAAU
ensembl:lncRNA